rnacentral:lncRNA from 1 species
AGUGAAGAAAAAAAAAUUAUUUCUCCUCAGAAGGCGCAGAUUGCAUCUAAAAUUUUUUUUAUUCAUCUACGUGAUUAAGGAUCAAAUCCUUAUCUGAUUAGCAGCGAAAUGAGAGAUCAAAUCUCAAAUUAUCUGAUAUAAAUCUUUACGGAGGUCUAGAUGUGCAGAUCCUUUACUUCGCAUGCACGUCAGACGUUGCAGGAAAGUAGGAUGAACUCCAAUCCAAUUGUCUUUGCAACUCAAUCAAUUGAGGGAUGAGAUGUGCUGAUGUGACAUCUCACACCAGCAGGUGGGAUGCCCAAGAUGGAUCCACGCCCAAGGAAAGAGGGACCACAACAAGAAGAGAGGGCAAUAAAGAAGAAGGGACCUCUCUCUCUUCUCAUGCCUCUCUCUCUCUCUUUCUCUCUUCUCUCGAUCUGAUUUGUUUGCUAUACAUCUAUAGGUAGAGACCCUCUCUAUUUAUAGAUGAUUCCUAUGACCCAAUAAGUAUAAGAGUCCUAACUCAAAUCUGAUUUGAAUCAGUCCAAUACUCAUGAAAGAAAGAUUCUUACAUGAGAUAGAAUUGCCAUCAUAUAUGACAACCAAUUUGUACCCACUUCCGCACCCACAUGGGACGUCCCAAAUGAGCAAAGCUCUAGGCAUUGGUCGGCUCAUAAUAGAAGAAAAUCCCAGUGCAAGUGGGAAUACUCACAUCUCAUAAAAAAUGGAUCCGAUUCGAAUCUAAUUUGAAGCUGGUUCGAAAUAAUUUUGAAAGACUGUCCAUCCCAAAC